UACGUAGGGGGCUAGCGUUGUCCGGAUUUAUUGGGCGUAAAGAGCGUGUAGGCGGCCAGGUAGGUCUGGUGUGAAAACUCGAGGCUUAACCUCGAGAUGUCAUCGGAAACCAUCUGGCUAGAGUCCGGAAGAGGAGAGUGGAAUUCCUGGUGUAAGCGGUGAAAUGCGCAGAUAUCAGGAAGAACACCAAUGGCGAAAGCAGCUCUCUGGGACGGUACUGACGCUGAGACGCGAAAAGCGUGGGGAGCGAACAGG
rnacentral:rRNA from 1 species